AGAGUUUGAUCCUGGCUCAGGACGAACGCUGGCGGCGUGCUUAACACAUGCAAGUCGAACGGAAAGGCCCUGCUUGCAGGGUACUCGAGUGGCGAACGGGUGAGUAACACGUGGGUGAUCUGCCCUGCACUUCGGGAUAAGCUUGGGAAACUGGGUCUAAUACCGGAUAGGAGCCAUCUUUAGUGUGGUGGUUGGAAAGUUUUUUCGGUGUAGGAUGAGCUCGCGGCCUAUCAGCUUGUUGGUGGGGUAAUGGCCUACCAAGGCGGCGACGGGUAGCCGGCCUGAGAGGGUGUACGGCCACAUUGGGACUGAGAUACGGCCCAGACUCCUACGGGAGGCAGCAGUGGGGAAUAUUGCACAAUGGGCGCAAGCCUGAUGCAGCGACGCCGCGUGGGGGAUGAAGGCCUUCGGGUUGUAAACUCCUUUCGCUAGGGACGAAGCUUUUUUGUGACGGUACCUAGAUAAGAAGCACCGGCUAACUACGUG
rnacentral:rRNA from 1 species